UACGAAGGGUGCAAGCGUUACUCGGAAUUACUGGGCGUAAAGCGUGCGUAGGUGGUUGCUUAAGUCUGUCGUGAAAGCCCUGGGCUCAACCUGGGAAUUGCGAUGGAUACUGGGCGACUAGAGUAAGGUAGAGGAUAGUGGAAUUUCCGGUGUAGCAGUGAAAUGCGUAGAGAUCGGAAGGAACAUCUGUGGCGAAGGCGACUAUCUGGGCCAUUACUGACACUGAGGCACGAAAGCGUGGGGAGCAAACAGG
rnacentral:rRNA from 1 species